UACGGAGGGUGCAAGCGUUAUCCGGAUUUACUGGGUUUAAAGGGUGCGUAGGUGGGCAGGAAAGUCAGUAGUGAAUCUCCGGGCUUAACCCGGAAACUGCCAUUGAUACUAUUUGUCUUGAAUACUUUGGAGGUAAGCGGAAUAUGUCAUGUAGCGGUGAAAUGCUUAGAUAAUGACAUAGAACACCAAUUGCGCCAGGCAGCUUACUACACAGUAAUUGACACUGAGGCACGAAAGCGUGGGGAAUCAAACAGG
rnacentral:rRNA from 1 species